rnacentral:lncRNA from 1 species
CUGUACUUUUAUUUUGCCCUGUUGUGCUUAGUUUAUGUCUUGAAAUUUGCUCGUAUUAAAGUACAACAAAUUUCGCUCAACAGCUUAAUGGAGCUUACGUUGUGUAGAAGGUCAUCAGAGGAAGAACAUUGGAAAGAAGGGGAAAAAAAUUCCAAGAGCUCAAAUUACAACUUAAAACGAAGAGCAGAAAGGAAGGCUACUCUGUGUUGUAGGAGACUAUUACCACACUUUGCUCUGAAAGAAAAGUCUAAGGAGUAGAAAAGUUGUUGGGAAACGGGACUGCAAAACACUUUAAGGACAAACUGUGGGAGUAGAAACACCAAGGAAAAACAACUGCCUGACUACAGCGGUUGAAGGGACAUGACAGAGGAGAGACUCUAAACGAACAUUCUAAUGCAAAGACUAACAACAUGGCAAUGGGUUCGAAUCAAGAACACAUGUGAUACCCAGUGAAAUCACGCGUCAGCUAUGGGGGUCGGGGGGGGGGGAGGAAAAGAAAAUGAUCUUUGUCUUUAAUGAAUAAUGCUUGG